rnacentral:rRNA from 1 species
GACGAACGCUGGCGGCGUGCUUAACACAUGCAAGUCGAACGGAAAGGCCCUGCUUUUGUGGGGUGCUCGAGUGGCGAACGGGUGAGUAACACGUGAGUAACCUGCCCUUGACUUUGGGAUAACUUCAGGAAACUGGGGCUAAUACCGGAUAGGAGCUCCUGCUGCAUGGUGGGGGUUGGAAAGUUUCGGCGGUUGGGGAUGGACUCGCGGCUUAUCAGCUUGUUGGUGGGGUAGUGGCUUACCAAGGCUUUGACGGGUAGCCGGCCUGAGAGGGUGACCGGCCACAUUGGGACUGAGAGACGGCCCAGACUCCUACGGGAGGCAGCAGUGGGGAAUAUUACACAAUGGGCGGAAGCCUGAUGCAGCAACGCCGCGUGCGGGAUGACGGCCUUCGGGUUGUAAACCGCUUUCGCCUGUGACGAAGCGUGAGUGACGGUAAUGGGUAAAGAAGCACCGGCUAACUACGUG